UACGUAGGGUGCGAGCGUUAAUCGGAAUUACUGGGCGUAAAGCGUGCGCAGGCGGUCUGUUAAGACCGAUGUGAAAUCCCCGGGCUUAACCCGGGAACUGCAUUGGUGACUGGCAGGCUUUGAGUGUGGCAGAGGGAGGUAGAAUUCCACGUGUAGCAGUGAAAUGCGUAGAGAUGUGGAGGAAUACCGAUGGCGAAGGCAGCCUCCUGGGCCAACACUGACGCUUAUGCACGAAAGCGUGGGGAGCAAACAGG
rnacentral:rRNA from 1 species